rnacentral:rRNA from 1 species
GAUGAACGCUAGCUACAGGCUUAACACAUGCAAGUCGCGGGGCAGCAUGUUACUGGCUUGCCAGUAAUGAUGGCGACCGGCGCACGGGUGAGUAUCGCGUAUCCAACCUUCCCGCAAGUAAGGGAUAACCCGUAGAAAUGCGGCCUAAUACCUUAUGUUUUCCUUAGAGGGCAUCUGAUGAGGAACAAAGAUCCGUCGCUUGCGGAUGGGGAUGCGUCUGAUUAGGUUGUUGGCGGGGUAACGGCCCACCAAGGCAACGAUCAGUAGGGGUUCUGAGAGGAAGGUCCCCCANAUUGGAACUGAGACACGGUCCAAAACUCCUACGGGAGGCAGCAGUGAGGAAUAUUGGUCAAUGGGCGAGAGCCUGAACCAGCCAAGUAGCGUGCAGGACGACGGCCCUAUGGGUUGUAAACUGCUUUUAUAAGGGAAUAAAGUGGGUCACGUGUGACUUUUUGCAUGUACCUUAUGAAUAAGGACCGGCUAAUUCCGUG